GGGUAAGUCCUAUACGACCAGCUCCUGUUGAACUCCCCCAGGAUCGGAAGGUAGCAAGGGUAGAUGGUUGUAGCGGUGCGAUAUAGUUCGCUUACCCUU
rnacentral:SRP_RNA from 1 species